rnacentral:lncRNA from 1 species
GAACCAGUUGAAGCAGCAGCAUGAUUUUUUGAUCCCUGAAGACUGUAUUGGCUUUCUGAAUUUCCCAUUUUCCACUGUAGAAUCUCUCUCUCAAACGUAGGUGUGGUUAUCAGUUAGCAUCUUUUGCAUUGUCUUUGUGGCCAGCCACUACACUUGCCAAAAAAGCAGGAUGGAGAUGAAUGCAAGCUUUCUUGCAUAAUUAUUUGCUCUCUGCAUGCCUUUCUUCUCACUGCAUCUUGGAGCAGAAGCACAAGGGUGGGAUGUAUUCCUAACACUGCCCUUGUUGCUCCAUGAACUGAAGAAUUUUUUGCUGGAAGUCUCUGUUUUCUUAGCGUUGGCAAUCUGCCCGCGGGUGCGGAGCGCCGCAGCCCCCGAGGACUUUGUCCCCGCGGCGCGCCCAGCUCCCGGAGGAGAAG